rnacentral:rRNA from 1 species
UACGUAGGGGGCUAGCGUUGUCCGGAUUUAUUGGGCGUAAAGAGCUCGUAGGCGGUUUGUCGCGUCUGCUGUGAAAACUCGGGGCUUAACUCCGGGCCUGCAGUGGGUACGGGCAGACUAGAGUGCGGUAGGGGAGACUGGAAUUCCUGGUGUAGCGGUGAAAUGCGCAGAUAUCAGGAGGAACACCGGUGGCGAAGGCGGGUCUCUGGGCCACACCUGACGCUGAGACGCGAAAGCUAGGGGAGCGAACAGG